rnacentral:rRNA from 1 species
UACAGAGGCCUCGAGCGUUAGGCGGAAUCACUGGGCUUAAAGCGCGUGUAGGCGGAUCGUUAAGUGCCUUGUGAAAUCCCACGGCUCAACCGUGGAACUGCUGGGCAUACUGGCGAUCUUGGGCCACUCAGGGGUUGCCGGAACAAACGGUGGAGCGGUGAAAUGCGUAGAUAUCGUAAGGAAGACCAGUGGCGAAGGCGGGUCUCUGGACAGUUCCUGACGCUGAGGCACGAAGGUCAGGGGAGCAAACGGG